rnacentral:rRNA from 1 species
AUUGAACGCUGGCGGCAGGCUUAACACAUGCAAGUCGAGCGAGCGGCGGACGGGUGAGUAAUGUCUGGGAAACUGCCUGAUGGAGGGGGAUAACUACUGGAAACGGUAGCUAAUACCGCAUACCAUCAGAUGUGCCCAGCUGGGAUUAGCUAGUAGGUGGGGUAAUGGCUCACCUAGGCGACGAUCCCUAGCUGGUCUGAGAGGAUGACCAGCCAACCGGGAACUGAGACACGGUCCAGACUCCUACGGGAGGCAGCAGGGGGGAAUAUGGCACAAGGGGCGCAAGCCUGAUGUAGCCAUGCCGCGUGUGUGAAGAAGGCCUUCGGGUUGUAAAGUACUUUCAGCGGGGAGGCGUUACCCGCAGAAGAAGCACCGGCUAACUCCGUGCCAGCAGCCGCGGUAAUAC